GACGAACGCUGGCGGCGUGCUUAACACAUGCAAGUCGAACGAUGAAGGAGGAGCUUGCUCCUCUGGAUUAGUGGCGAACGGGUGAGUAAUACGUGAGCAAUGUGCCCUUGACUCUGGGAUAAGCGCUGGAAACGGCGUCUAAUACCGGAUACGACCCUCGGAGGCAUCUCCUGAUGGUGGAAAGAACUUCGGUCAAGGAUCAGCUCACGGCCUAUCAGCUAGUUGGUGAGGUAACGGCUCACCAAGGCGACGACGGGUAGCCGGCCUGAGAGGGUGACCGGCCACACUGGGACUGAGACACUGCCCAGACUCCUACGGGAGGCAGCAGUGGGGAAUAUUGCACAAUGGGCGCAAGCCUGAUGCAGCAACGCCGCGUGAGGGACGAAGGCCUUCGGGUUGUAAACCUCUUUUAGCAGGGAAGAAGCGAAAGUGACGGUACCUGCAGAAAAAGCACCGGCUAACUACGUGCCAGCCGCCGCAGUAACAC
rnacentral:rRNA from 1 species